rfam:Bombyx mori DNA, contig: Bm_scaf29_contig18775, strain: p50T/Dazao, build 2, whole genome shotgun sequence.
UUAACUCAAAUUGGUAUGGAGUUAAAACGUUUGCCUACCUUUGCCGCUAGGGGCGCUGUUCCAACUGCAUACCAAUUUUAGCUA